UAGCGGCGAGCGAAGCGGGAAAAGCUCAAAUUUGUAAUCUGGCGUCUACGACGUCCGAGUUGUAAUCUCGAGAAGUGUUUUCCGUGAUAGACCGCAUACAAGUCUCUUGGAACAGAGCGUCAUAGUGGUGAGAACCCAGUACACGAUGCGGAUGCCUAUUACUUUGUGAUACACUUUCGAAGAGUCGAGUUGUUUGGGAAUGCAGCUCAAAUUGGGUGGUAAAUUCCAUCUAAAGCUAAAUAUUGGCGAGAGACCGAUAGCGAACAAGUACCGUGAGGGAAAGAUGAAAAGCACUUUGGAAAGAGAGUUAACAGUACGUGAAAUUGUUGGAAGGGAAACACAUGCAGCCAGACUUGCUAUUCGGGGCAACUCGAUUGGCAGGCCCGCAUCAGUUUUUCGGGGCGGAAAAUCAUAGAGAGAAGGUAGCAAUUUCGGUUGUGUUAUAGCUCUUUAUUGGAUUCGCCCUGGGGGACUGAGGAACGCAGCGUGCUUUUAGCAUAAGCUUCGGCUUAUCCACGCUUAGGAUGCGGGUGUAAUGGCUGUAUAUGACCCGUCUUG
rnacentral:rRNA from 1 species